rnacentral:rRNA from 1 species
UGAAAACCGCCGGAGGAUUGGAAUAUGUCCUAUUAGCUAGUUGGCGGGAUAAAAGCCUACCAAGGCAAUGAUAGGUAGCUGGUCUAAGAGGAUGAACAGCCACAAUGGGAUUGAGAUACGGCCCAUAUUCCUACGGGAAGCAGCAGUAGGGAAUCUUCCACAAUGGGCGAAAGCCUGAUGGAGCAAUGCCAUGUGAAUGAUGAAGGCCAGACAGGUCGUAAAGUUCUUUUAGAGGGGAAAAAUCUGAUGGUACCCUCUGAAUAAGUGACAGCAAACUAUAUGCCAGCAGCUGCGGUAAUACAUAGGUCGCGAGCGUUAUUCGGAUUUAUUGGGCGUAAAGCAAGCGCAGGCGGAUGAAUAAGUUCUGCAUUAAAAGCAGCUGCUUAACAGUUGUUUGUGCCGAAUACUAUUCAUCUAGAAUGUGGUAGAAAGUUUUGGAAUUAAAUAUGGAGCGGUGGAAUGUGUAGAUAUAUUUAAGAACACCAGAGGCGAAGGCGAAAACCUAGGCCAUUAUUGACGCUUAGGCUUGAAAGUGUGGGUAGCAAAUGGGAUUAGAUACCCCAGUAGUCCACACCGUAAACGAUGGGUAUAGAUGUUCGGACCUUGG